AACGAACGCUGGCGGCGUGCCUAAUACAUGCAAGUCGAGCGAGAAAGCCUCUUCGGAGGUGAGUAAAGCGGCGCACGGGUGAGUAACACGUGGGCAACCUACCCUUGAGUCUGGGAUAACCCGGGGAAACUCGGGCUAAUACCAGAUACGGCUGCGGGGUCUUCGGAUCCUGUGGAGAAAGAUGGCCUCUUCUUGAAAGCUAUCUCUCGAGGAUGGGCCCGCGUCCUAUUAGCUAGUUGGGAGGUAACGGCUCACCAAGGCAAAGAUGGGUAGCUGGUCUGAGAGGAUGGCCAGCCACACUGGAACUGAGACACGGUCCAGACUCCUACGGGAGGCAGCAGGUGGGAAUAUUGGACAAUGGGCGCAAGCCUGAUCCAGCGAUGCCGCGUGUGUGAAGAA
rnacentral:rRNA from 1 species